GAUGAACGCUGGCGGCGUGCCUAAUACAUGCAAGUCGAGCGAAUGAAUUAAGAGCUUGCUCUUAUGAAGUUAGCGGCGGACGGGUGAGUAACACGUGGGUAACCUGCCCAUAAGACUGGGAUAACUCCGGGAAACCGGGGCUAAUACCGGAUAACAUUUUGAACCGCAUGGUUCGAAAUUGAAAGGCGGCUUCGGCUGUCACUUAUGGAUGGACCCGCGUCGCAUUAGCUAGUUGGUGAGGUAACGGCUCACAAAGGCAACGAUGCGUAGCCGACCUGAGAGGGUGAUCGGCCACACUGAGACUGAGACACGGCCCAGACUCCUACGGGAGGCAGCAGUAGGGAAUCUUCCGCAAUGGACGAAAGUCUGACGGAGCAACGCCGCGUGAGUGAUGAAGGCUUUCGGGUCGUAAAACUCUGUUGUUAGGGAAGAACAAGUGCUAGUUGAAUAAGCUGGCACCUUGACGGUACCUAACCAGAAAGCCACGGCUAACUACGUGCCAGCAGCCGCAGUAA
rnacentral:rRNA from 1 species